GACGAACGCUGGCGGCGUGCCUAAUACAUGCAAGUAGAACGCUGAGAACUGGUGCUUGCACCGGUUCAAGGAGUUGCGAACGGGUGAGUAACGCGUAGGUAACCUACCUCAUAGCGGGGGAUAACUAUUGGAAACGAUAGCUAAUACCGCAUAAAAGAGACUAACGCAUGUUAGUAAUUUAAAAGGGGCAAUUGCUCCACUAUGAGAUGGACCUGCGUUGUAUUAGCUAGUUGGUGAGGUAAAGGCUCACCAAGGCGACGAUACAUAGCCGACCUGAGAGGGUGAUCGGCCACACUGGGACUGAGACACGGCCCAGACUCCUACGGGAGGCAGCAGUAGGGAAUCUUCGGCAAUGGGGGCAACCCUGACCGAGCAACGCCGCGUGAGUGAAGAAGGUUUUCGGAUCGUAAAGCUCUGUUGUUAGAGAAGAAUGAUGGUGGGAGUGGAAAAUCCACCAAGUGACGGUAACUAACCAGAAAGGGACGGCUAACUAC
rnacentral:rRNA from 1 species